rnacentral:rRNA from 1 species
UACGGAGGGGGCAAGCGUUACCCGGAUUUACUGGGUGUAAAGGGUCCGCAGGCGGUUAAGCAAGUCAGUUUUUAAAUCCUCUGGCUCAACCAGAGAAUUGGAACAGAUACUGCUUAACUACGAGUCCAGAGGGGGAAAACGGACUGCCGGUGUAGCGGUGAAAUGCGUAGAUAUCGGCAGGAACACCCGUGGCGAAGGCGGUUUUCUACUCUGGUACUGACGCUCAUGGACGAAAGCGUGGGGAGCGAUCGGG